rnacentral:rRNA from 1 species
GACGAACGCUGGCGGCGUGCUUAACACAUGCAAGUCGAACGGAAAGGCCCUGCUUUUGUGGGGUGCUCGAGUGGCGAACGGGUGAGUAACACGUGAGUAACCUGCCCUUGACUUUGGGAUAACUUCAGGAAACUGGGGCUAAUACCGGAUAGGAGCUCCUGCUGCAUGGUGGGGGUUGGAAAGUUUCGGCGGUUGGGGAUGGACUCGCGGCUUAUCAGCUUGUUGGUGGGGUAGUGGCUUACCAAGGCUUUGACGGGUAGCCGGCCUGGGAGGGUGGCCGGCCACCUUGGUCCUGAGAUACGGCCCAGACUCCUACGGGAGGCAGCAGUGGGGAAUAUUGCACAAUGGGCGGAAGCCUGAUGCAGCAACGCCGCGUGCGUGAUGACGGCCUUCGGGUUGUAAACCGCUUUCGCCUGUGACGAAGCGUGAUUGACGGUAAUGGGUAAAGAAGCACCGGCUAACUACGUG